CAUCGCUGUGCUCUCUUAGUGUGCUGGCAGCGCCAGUCCUCGAUGAAUUCCCCGGUGAGCAGCUUACUCAUGGAGAGUUUUGAAGCACCCUUUGCCCCUGAAGCCAGGACAAAGGCAGCGGGACUCCUGCCUUUCUGUUGAUGCACAAACGUCUGCGGCGGAGGAACCAGAAGGACACGCAGUCUGGAGAGAAGUGCAAUGAAAAAGUGGAGAUCUUCCUCUCAGACUCUUCUCUGCUCCCUUUACCUGGAAUGAAGUUAAGUACUUCACAGUUUGCAUAUAAUGAAGGUUACAAAUGUGCAAAUUUUAACUUUUUUAACUUUUUAAGAUUUUGGAGCUGAUUAUGUCUUUGUCUUAACUUUAACAGUCAAAAGCACUGAACAGGUCAUUAAAGUCCUUUGUGAAUUCAAACAGGUGAGACCUCAAUUUUUUUUCUCUUUGAGAUGAAGUCCUAUAAGGGUAAAAUCUUGUUACAACAUUGAAGUGUUUCUUUUUGUAGACUUCAGAGAAUUUAG